GCUUGUUUCGGAUUUAGAGGCAGCGGGCCAGCGUGACACAUUUUAUCGGCGUAAUAUUUUUGCGGGCAACAUGACUCUCGCGCGCGUUCAUUUGUGAUGUUUACUCGCUGAAGUUCAAAUGUUUGAACGUGCGAAUAAAGCUCCAAGCGAGCAGGAGACGGGAUGCACUUAUGCUGCGCCAGAGCACUACUGUCGUUAUUGCUUUCUACAUCGUCUUGUUUAGCUCGACGUUCAUCACAAACAAGUAUGUUCUCACCGUAGAAAGGUUCGCCUAUCCUGCUAUUUUUCAAUGCUGGCAGGUCCUGGUGGCUGCUGUUGGCUUUGUUGUAGCUGCUAGCUGUUGCAAAUGGAAGUGGCACAUGCAAUGUCUGAUACUGACUCUUCAGUACAUUUGGAAAACGGUGCCAUAUUAUACACUGAGCAUAUAUGCUGGUUCUCGGGCCCUCACAAUCCUUCCUCUUUCAAUAUUUCUGGGCAUCCACAACUCUUUGCUACUUUUCCACUGUGGUUUGGAUCUAGACUUUGGCAAACAGAGUGUUUUCUUCAGUACCAACCCGAAGGACUUGGUAGCAUUUACUUCUGUGGCCGUGAGCAGCAUAAUGCUUGUUACCACUGUCCCAAGAGGCUUUGGUAGUGCAAUGUGGUGGAUGUUGCUUCAUAUUUGUUGUGCAGGUGUUAUCCUUUCUACUGAAAAGUCUUCGACUGUCUGCAUUAAAACUGAUGCAUUCAACAGACAGCUAAUAUACACGACAACAAGUUUUAUUUUACUGUUGCCUGCAAGCUAUUUCUUGGGUGAUUUUCAUGCAGUCUUCCUAUACCCUUAUCUUACUUCUCCUGGAUUUUGUUGGUCGUUUGUUACGAGUGCUGUUUUGGGAUGUUUGCUGCUAAUGCUCUACCCUACGAUUUCAUCAUUAGAAGUUGUCAACUUGAAUCAUGUUGGCUUAGCUAAGGUUAUUGUGUCUGCUAUCUCCCUGUUGUCGUUCGGUGUACCUACAGUGCCACAAGAUUACCUGUUCUGGUGAGUUGUCCAAUGAGGGUGCACAAACGCAGCUCAGUCAACUUCUGAUAAUUUGGCCUAGGACAGCUCUGUCACUUCUUGCUGGCAUGUUUGCCCCCAAAGUCGUCACUUCAGAUGCUGACAGAUGUGUCCUCUCCAAUAUUC
rnacentral:misc_RNA from 1 species